GCAGUCGAACGAUGAUGCCCAGCUUGCUGGGCGGAUUAGUGGCGAACGGGUGAGUAAUACGUGAGUAACCUGCCCCUGACUCUGGGAUAAGCCUGGGAAACCGGGUCUAAUACUGGAUACGACCUUCCACCGCAUGGUGGGGGGUGGAAAGGGUUUACUGGUUUUGGAUGGGCUCACGGCCUAUCAGCUUGUUGGUGGGGUAAUGGCUCACCAAGGCGACGACGGGUAGCCGGCCUGAGAGGGUGACCGGCCACACUGGGACUGAGACACGGCCCAGACUCCUACGGGAGGCAGCAGUGGGGAAUAUUGCACAAUGGGCGAAAGCCUGAUGCAGCGACGCCGCGUGAGGGAUGACGGCCUUCGGGUUGUAAACCUCUUUCAGUAGGGAAGAAGCGCAAGUGACGGUACCUGCAGAAGAAGCGCCGGCUAACUACGUGCCAGCAGCCGCGGUAAUACGUAGGGCGCAAGCGUUGUCCGGAAUUAUUUGGGCGUAAAGAGCUCGUAGGCGGUUUGUCGCGUCCGCUGUGAAAGCCCGGGGCUCAACCCCGGGUCGGCAGUGGGGUACGGGCAGACUAGAGUGCAGUAGGGGAGACUGGAAUUUCCUGGUGUAGCGGUGAAAUGCGCAUAUUUUCAGAGGAACACCCGAUGGCGAAGCAGGUCUCUGGGCUGUUA
rnacentral:rRNA from 1 species